AGCAGCAGCCGCGGUAAUACGAAGGGUGCAAGCGUUACUCGGAAUUACUGGGCGUAAAGCGUGCGUAGGUGGUGGUUUAAGUCCGUUGUGAAAGCCCUGGGCUCAACCUGGGAAUUGCAGUGGAUACUGGGUCACUAGAGUGUGGUAGAGGAUAGUGGAAUUUCCGGUGUAGCAGUGAAAUGCGUAGAGAUCGGAAGGAACAUCUGUGGCGAAGGCGACUAUCUGGGCCAACACUGACACUGAGGCACGAAAGCGUGGGGAGCAAACAGGAUUAGAUACCCGGGUAGUCCCUGUCUCUUAUAC
rnacentral:rRNA from 1 species